CUUGCUGGCACCAGGGUCUCUGCUCUCUCAUCGGCGUCACCGUCGAAUCUCUUUGUCUAAUUGUCCCUCCCCUCCCCUCUCGCUCUGCAAAAUCCCUUAAACACUAGCCCUGAUUUUCAACAAACCAACGCAUAUUCCAUUCAACACCCAACAGCUCAAAUCUGCAUAGUCUCAUAAAUUCUACCAUUUAUAGACCCCCCCAACUUCCCAUGCUCUAGCACAAGAACACAAUCACCACCAUGCCUCCUCAACUCCUCCUGCCUCUUUUCUGCUUAUUGUUUGCUUUCUUCGAUCAAAACCUCGCAAUCGGAUCUCAGCCAUCGAUAUACGACACUCUCAGGUCGCACGGCCUCCCAAUGGGCUUGCUUCCGAAGGGCGUCAAGGAUUUCACCGUUGACGACGCCGGAAGGUUCGAAGUGCAUCUGGAUCGAGCGUGCAACGCCAAGUUCGAGAGCGAAUUGCAUUACGAUCUCAACGUUUCAGGGACUCUGAGCUACGGUCAGAUCGGCGAGCUCUCGGGGAUUUCAGCGCAAGAGUUGUUUCUCUGGUUUCCCGUUAAGGGGAUUCGCGUCGAUGUCCCAAGCUCCGGACUCAUUUACUUUGAUGUGGGUGUUGUUUUCAAGCAAUUCGCUCUGUCCCUGUUCGAGACCCCGCCGGAUUGUUUGGCCGUUCAAGAUUCUUAUCUUCUCGAUGAUAGUAUCGUUGCCGAGGUGACGUCCAAUGAUCAAUCUGGGGAGCUUCUACAUUGGCUUGAUCAUAGAGAUAUUGCAAGCGCUGUCAUGUAAAUAGGUGAAGGUGAUCCUGAGUUGCACAGUAUCUCUAUCAGAAUAUCGGUUUUCUAUUCCUCAUCUGUACAUGUCUUCAGAGAGUCUGGUAUAGCAGGUCAUCUGCUUCCACCUGGUGUGCCUACUUGCGGUUUGUGGUCUAGUGCAGAGUCCGCAAAUCAGUCAACCCAGUUCCUGUCUAUGCUUGGAUUGCCGGCAGAUCUUGUCGGAUUGAGAAAAAAAGGUGAAAUGAGGAGAAUGUAUCCACAACAUUGGUGGUUCAUCUGUAGAUGAUAAAAUGAGAGACGGGAGAAUCAGGGCAAGAUGAUUUCAGCUUUUCUCUUUCCUAUACGGCAACUUCCCUCCCUAUUACAACACUAACAACAACUAGGGGUGACAAAAUGGAUUCAAGGGCCGGGUUCAGACGGGUUGUAAACGGUUCAGGUGGUAACCAUGUAAAUCCUAACCCGCCCAUUUAUUAAACGAACAGGUCACGGGUUACAAGUUUUAAAAAAAUUUAUAAUUUAUUUUUUUAAAGGGCAAAUCUUUAAAAAAAAACAAAAAAAAAAAAAGUAAAAAAAUUAUUUGCAUGGUGACACUGACAGAUUCACAAACUGAGACUGAGAGAGCCGAGAGAGGGACUGGAGAAUGAGGGUGAGAGGGAGGGGGAGGCUGAGGGUGAGAUCGUGGAGUGAGAGGGAGGGGGAGACUAAGGAUGAGAUCACUGAGAUCGUGACAGAGAGACUGAGAGUGAGACGGGCUGAGGCGACUGGCAAGCGCGGGACGGCGAGAGGAUCUGCAGAGGCUCGACAGGACGGUGUUCGGCGAUGGCGAGGCUUGACUCUUAAGAGACGGUGACGGCGUGCGAGUGCGCCGUGCUGGUGCUGUGACGGCGAGGCUACCUGGAAGUGGAAGUGGAAGAGGAAGAUCGAAGGGGUGCAGGACAAUGGCUGCACUUGGCUGGGUUUAACUUAAAUGGAUUGGGGUUGCCUAAUGCCUAAUGAGAGUAAUGCCCUAAUGGUUGUACUGCUCUUUUUCAAUUUCUACUUCUGCAUUUUAAUAUUUUAAAGCUAUGUGAUGGUUUUGACCUUCACCACCAUAUAAAUGAAUAUCUCAACCUUCUUAAAA